UUGGAGGUCUGGGCAGUGUUUAAAACUUCGUUGUUAGUGCAGUUGUGGAGUAGUGUUGUUUGGAUCUCAGCGAGAUACAAGAAUUUACGCAGCUUCAGACGUCCUUUCGAAUUCCGUAGAUGAAAGAAGUGAUUAGUGACUGAAGAAAUCCUAGGACUGACUGGGGAUCAGAAACCAGUUCUAUGGAUUUUUGGUUUAGCACUUACCCAACGAGCCGCCAAUCCAAACACAGGUAGCCAAGAUUUUUCUGGGCUUGCUUAGGCACAAGGUACUGUCUUGAUUAUUAUGUUAAUGCAAAUUAUUCCAAAUCAUUUAAUCAUAAUUACUGAUUUGACCCUAAAUUGGGAUUGCAGUUGCCUUAUGUGUGGACACCCUUAACCUAUUUUGCUGGUUGGUACUUGAUAAAAUUUUCAGUUGAUUUUAUGCUGAUUUUAGCAGAAUUUUUGUCCUCUUAUGUGUUAAGAGUGUGUUUGAUUUAAAUAAUAAUAAUAAAAAUAAUAAUAAUAAGUUUUCCGAAAGUACUUUGAAGGCCUUAAGUGACGUUUUCUUAUAUCUUUGCUGUUGCCCUUUGAACAGCUUCUGAUUUGUAAGUGAAGAAGCUUUUUUUUAUUUUUUACUGUUUUAUAUUUAUUCUGACAGUGUGUUUUGUGGUUUGUUAAGGUAAAACCAUUUGUUAAGCCAAUUAUUGCUGUAAGCAACUAAUUAGCCUUAAGCUGUUGCUCAUAGUUGUGUGUUACCAUUGUAUUUAUUUAUUCAUGCUAUUAUGUGGUGGUGAAAUAAAUGUAGCCACUCAAAUGACAAAUGAUGCUCUUCUGUUUUUGCCCUUCUAUGCUUGCCUUGUCCUACCCCAUCCUGUGUUUAGGGAUUUCAGCAUUGUGCCUCAUUUGUAAAUAUUUUGUGUACUUCAUGUGGAAAAUAUACUAUAGAAUGUAGUUAGUUACAUGUUCCAUAGAUCACGUGAAUGAUUCUUUUAUUGAAAUGAGAACCACUUGCAUGAACAUCAAGAGCUCAGAUGGAAACCCAGUUCUAAGCAAAGAAGGGAAAGCAGAAAGGUGGAAGGAGUAUAUAGAGGGUUUAUACAAGGGCGAUGUACUUGAGGACAAUAUUAUGGAAAUGGAAGAGGAUGUAGAUAAAGAUGAAAUGGGAGAUACAAUACUGCGUGAAGAGUUUGACAGAGCACUGAAAGAUCUGAGUCGAAACAAGGCCCCCGGAGUAGACAACAUUCCAUUAGAACUACUGACAAAACUCUACCAUCUGGUGAGCAAUAUGUAUAAAACUGGCGAAAUACCCUCAGACUUCAAGAAGAAUAUAAUAAUUCCAAUCCCAAAGAAAGCAGGUGUUGACAAAUGUGAAAAUUACCGAACUAUCAGUUUAACAAGUCACAGCUGCAAAAUACGAACGCGACUUCUUUACAGACGAAUGGAAAAACUAGUAAAAGCCGACCUCGGGGAAGAUCAGUUUGGAUUCCGUAGAAAUGUUGGAACACGUGAGGCAAUACUGACCCUACGACUUACCUUAGAAGCUAGAUUAAGGAAGGGCAAACCUACGUUUCUAGCAUUUGUAGACUUAGAGAAAGCUUUUGACAAUGUUGACUGGAAUACUCUCUUUCAAAUUCUGAAGGUGGCAGGGGUAAAAUACAGGGAGUGAAAGCCUAUUUACAAUUUGUACAGAAACCAGAUGGCAGUUAUAAGAGUAGAGGGACAUGAAAGGGAAGCAGUGGUUGGGAAGGGAGUGAGACAGGGUUGUAGUCUCUCCCUGAUGUUAUUCAAUCUGUAUAUUGAGCAAGCAGUGAAGGAAACAAAAGACAAAUUCGGAGUAGGUAUUAAAAUCCACGGAGAAGAAAUAAAAACUUUGAGGUUCGCCGAUGACAUUGUAAUUCUGUCAGAGACAGCAAAGGACUUGGAACAGCAGUUGAACGGAAUGGAUAGUGUCUUGAAAGGAGGAUAUAAGAUGAACAUCACCAAAAGCAAAACGAGGAUAAUGGAAUGUAGUCGAAUUAAUUCAGGUGAUGCUGAGGGGAUUAGAUGAGGAAAUGAGACACUUAAAGUAGUAAAGAAGUUUAGCUAUUUGGGGAGCAAAAUAACUGAUGACGAUCGAAGUAGAGAGGAUAUAAAAUGUAGACUGGCAGUGGCAAGGAAAGCGUUUCUGAAGAAGAGAAAUUUGUUAACAUUGAGUAUAGAUUUAAGUGUCAGGAAGUCAUUUCUGAAAGUAUUUGUAUGGAGUGUAGCCAUGUAUGGAAGUUAAACAUGGACGAUAAAUAGUUUGGAAAAGAAGAGAAUAGAAGCUUUUGAAAUGGGGUGCUACAGAAGAAUGCUGAAGAUUAGAUGGGUAGAUCACAUAACUAAUGAGGAAGUGUUGAAUAGGAUUGGGGAGAAUAGAAGUUUGUGGCACAACUUGACUAGAAGAAGGGAUCGGUUGGUAGGACAUGUUCUGAGGCAUCAAGGGAUCAUCAAUUUAGUAUUAGAGUGCAGCGUGGAGGGUAAAAAUCGUAGAGGGAGACCAAGAGAUGAAUACACUAAGCAGAUUCAGAAGGAUGUAGGUUGCGGUAGGUACUGGGAGAUGAAGAAGCUUACACAGGACAGAGUAGCAUGGAGAGCUGCAUCAAACCAGUCUCAGGACUGAAGACAACAACAACAAUGGAAUGAGUAAGUUUACAGGAUCUGUGAACAUUACUAGUGUUAACAGUAAUGAACAUAUUUUUUUUAUUCCUACUACUGCAGCUACACUUAAAAAGUGCAGUUUUUUAAAUAA